rnacentral:rRNA from 1 species
AUUGAACGCUGGCGGCAUGCCUUACACAUGCAAGUCGAACGGCAGCACGGGGGCAACCCUGGUGGCGAGUGGCGAACGGGUGAGUAAUAUAUCGGAACGUGCCCUAGAGUGGGGGAUAACUAGUCGAAAGAUUAGCUAAUACCGCAUACGAUCUACGGAUGAAAGUGGGGGAUCGCAAGACCUCGUGCUCCUGGAGCGGCCGAUAUCUGAUUAGCUAGUUGGUAGGGUAAAAGCCUACCAAGGCGACGAUCAGUAGCUGGUCUGAGAGGACGACCAGCCACCCUGGAACAUAGACACUGUCCAGACUCCUACGGGAGGCAGCAGUGGGGAAUUUUGGACAAUGGGGGCAACCCUGAUCCAGCAAUGCCGCGUGAGUGAAGAAGGCCUUCGGGUUGUAAAGCUCUUUUGUCCGGAACGAAACGCGCUGAGCUAAUACCUCGGCGUAAUGACGGUACCGGAAGAAUAAGCACCGGCUAACUACGUGCCAGCCGCCGCCGUAA